rnacentral:tRNA from 1 species
GGGGGCAUAGCUUAACGGUAGAGCCCUUGCCUAGCAUAUGUGAGGCCUUGGGUUUGAGCCCUAGUGCCACCA